UACGUAGGGGGCGAGCGUUGUCCGGAUUCAUUGGGCGUAAAGAGCUCGUAGGCGGUUUGUCGCGUCUGCUGUGAAAACUCGGGGCUUAACUCCGGGCCUGCAGUGGGUACGGGCAGACUAGAGUGCGGUAGGGGAGACUGGAAUUCCUGGUGUAGCGGUGAAAUGCGCAGAUAUCAGGAGGAACACCGGUGGCGAAGGCGGGUCUCUGGGCCGAUACUGACGCUGAGGAGCGAAAGCGUGGGGAGCGAACAGG
rnacentral:rRNA from 1 species